rnacentral:rRNA from 1 species
UACGGAGGGGGCUAGCGUUGUUCGGAAUUACUGGGCGUAAAGCGCGCGUAGGCGGACCUGCAAGUCGGGGGUGAAAGCCCGAGGCUCAACCUCGGAACUGCCUUCGAUACUGCGGGUCUCGAGUCCGGGAGAGGUGAGUGGAAUUCCUAGUGUAGAGGUGAAAUUCGUAGAUAUUAGGAAGAACACCAGUGGCGAAGGCGGCGCACUGGCCCGGUACUGACGCUGAGGCGCGAAAGCGUGGGGAGCAAACAGG